UACGAAGGGGGCUAGCGUUGUUCGGAAUUACUGGGCGUAAAGCGCGCGUAGGUUGCUCGGCAAGUCAGUGGUGAAAUCCCGGAGCUUAACUUCGGAACUGCCAUUGAAACUGCUGAGCUAGAAUCCCAGAGGGGGUAGCGGAAUUCCAAAUGUAGGGGUGAAAUCCGUAGAUAUUUGGAGGAACACCGGUGGCGAAGGCGGCUACCUGGAUGGGUAUUGACACUGAGGCUCGAAAGCGUGGGGAUCAAACAGG
rnacentral:rRNA from 1 species